ACUCACCAUGUGUUACUGAGGGAAACAGAGUGCUGGCAUUUUCGCGUUCGACUGUAAUACACAACAUUCGUAGCGCAAUGGCCGUAAUAACGUAUAAUCUCGUAAUACUAGUGUAUCAGUGGAACAUAAAUUUGUUUAUUGGAAAAUGAAAAAGAUGUGAUCGCAGCAUUGAGAAUUGUGCUUCACAAAUAUCGAGGACAGUGGACAGAGUGAAGUUUUAACGUUUUAAGUGAAAAGUGAACAUCGAAGCGACGAGGAAAGAGCCAGCGGUAGAUAAAGAAGCAAAUGCUAAAGAGGCCAUCGGCGGUGUAGAAAUGGGCGCAGUGGCACAAGGAGGAACUAACUGAUACCAUGGCUACCAUUAGAAUGAUUAGCGGUUUUCGCACCACUGCCAAGUCAACGAUCGUCCACAGGGAGAAUCGAGGAUCGAAGAGCUUGGGAGCCCCACCUCUGGAAGAGCGAGGCCGCGCCGGGACAGGCCCGUCGAAUGUUAACGAGACUCUGAGCGAAUAUAACCUAACCUCUCCUAACCUCUCUCCGAGGCCGUGCGGCCGGCGAUCCCGCGUAUGAUUUCCAGCCUGGCUCCCAUUGGUCGGGAGGCAUGGCCGCGGUUACCGCCUUCGCGGCUAAACACAACCACCGGAAACGAAAUUAAUAAUCGAAUUCGCGCGCACGUAAAAUAUUUCGGUGCGAAAUUCAAAUCGAUAUCAGGGACCAAGAAGUGGGAUAGGAGGAGUAAAAAAAUUUUUUAAAAAUUUUUCUCCAUUUUCGCACCCGGAUCGACAUGGUUAAUUUUCGGUAAAAAAUUUUGGUGGU